rnacentral:rRNA from 1 species
UACAGAGGGUGCGAGCGUUAAUCGGAAUUACUGGGCGUAAAGCGUACGUAGGUGGCGACGUAAGUCGGGUGUGAAAGCCCCGGGCCCAACCUGGGAAUUGCAUUCGAGACUGCAUUGCUGGAGUACGGAAGAGGAGGGCGGAAUUCCCGGUGUAGCGGUGAAAUGCGUAGAUAUCGGGAGGAACAUCAGUGGCGAAGGCGGCCCUCUGGUCCAGUACUGACACUCAAGUGCGAAAGCGUGGGGAGCAAACAGG